GUGAGGAAUAUUGGACAAUGGGCGCAAGCCUGAUCCAGCCAUGCCGCGUGCAGGAAGACGCAUCUAUGGUGUGUAAACUGCUUUUGUACGGGAAGAAACACUCCCUCGUGAGGGAGCUUGACGGUACCGUAAGAAUAAGGAUCGGCUAACUCCGUGCCAGCAGCCGCGGUAAUACGGAGGAUCCAAGCGUUAUCCGGAAUCAUUGGGUUUAAAGGGUCCGUAGGCGGUUUAAUAAGUCAGUGGUGAAAGCCCAUCGCUCAACGAUGGAACGGCCAUUGAUACUGCUAGACUUGAAUUACAAGGAAGUAACUAGAAUAUGUAGUGUAGCGGUGAAAUGCUUAGAUAUUACAUGGAAUACCAAUUGCGAAGGCAGGUUACUACUUGUGGAUUGACGCUGAUGGACGAAAGCGUGGGGAGCGAACAGGAUUAGAAACCCGUGUAGUCC
rnacentral:rRNA from 1 species